GCCCUCGGUGGCUCAGAUGAGUAGAGCGUCUGCCAAGUAAGCAGAAGAUCCCGGGUUCGAGACCCGGUCGGGGCA